rnacentral:rRNA from 1 species
GACGUAGGGCGCGAGCGUUGUCCGGAUUUAUUGGGCGUAAAGAGCUCGUAGGCGGCUUGUUGCGUCGACCGUGAAAACCCGGGGCUCAACUUCGGGCUUGCGGUCGAUACGGGCGGGCUAGAGUUCGGUAGGGGGAGACUGGAAUUCCUGGUGUAGCGGUGAAAUGCGCAGAUAUCAGGAGGAACACCGGUGGCGAAGGCGGGUCUCUGGGCCGUUACUGACGCUGAGGAGCGAAAGCGUGGGGAGCGAACAGG